rnacentral:rRNA from 1 species
GACGAACGCUGGCGGCGCGCCUAACACAUGCAAGUCGAACGGAGCUGAGAGAAGCUUGCUUUUCUUAGCUUAGUGGCGAACGGGUGAGUAACGCGUGAGUAACCUGCCCUGGAGUGGGGGACAACAGUUGGAAACGACUGCUAAUACCGCAUAAGCCCACGAUCCGGCAUCGGAUUGAGGGAAAAGGAUUUAUUCGCUUCAGGAUGGACUCGCGUCCAAUUAGCUAGUUGGUGAGGUAACGGCCCACCAAGGCGACGAUUGGUAGCCGGACUGAGAGGUUGACCGGCCACAUUGGGACUGAGACACGGCCCAGACUCCUACGGGAGGCAGCAGUGGGGGAUAUUGCACAAUGGGGGAAACCCUGAUGCAGCGACGCCGCGUGGAGGAAGAAGGUUUUCGGAUUGUAAACUCCUGUCGUUAGGGACGAUAAUGACGGUACCUAACAAGAAAGCACCGGCUAACUACGUG